AAUGCGAUCAUUUUCGGUUUGUUUUUCGUAAAGAAAAUUUGUACUCGUUUUUUUUAAUUAUCUAAGCAUAAAACUAUGAUUUCAUAUAAAGUUUUAAUAAUAUUAAGUUUUAUAAUUAAUAUAAGCCACUGUGCAACUGAAAUUACCAAAAUCCAUAAAGAAAUUCAAAGAUGCCAAGAUAAUUUAAAAUUAAUGGGGU